UCAAGCUAGAAAGAGCGCAAGGGGAAUGCCUUGGCAUCAGGAGCCGAUGAAGGACGCGACAAGCUGCGAUAAGCUUCGGGUAGCUGCAAAUAAGCAAUGAUCCGGAGAUUUCCGAAUGGGGCAACCCGGCACGGCAAUACCGUGUCAGCGUGCACUGAAUCAAAUAGGUGUACGUGGGGAACCGCCUGAACUGAAACAUCUAAGUAGGGCGAGGAAAAGACAUCAACAGAGAUUCCGCAAGUAGUGGCGAGCGAACGCGGAGGAGGCCAAACCAGAGGUCAUUGAUCUCUGGGGUAAGGACUUGCAUCAUGAUCAGAGGUAUCUAGUCGAAUGGCGUGGGAAAGCCAACCACAGAGGGUGAGAGUCCCGUAGACGAAAGAGAAGACUGACAGCGAGUAUCCAGAGUACCGCCGGACACGUGAAACCCGGUGGGAACAUGGGAGGACCACCUUCCAAGCCUAAAUACUACCUGAUGACCGAUAGAGAAGCAGUACCGUGAGGGAAAGGUGAAAAGAACCCCGGGAGGGGAGUGAAAUAGUACCUGAAACCUUGUGCUUACAAGCAGUCAGAGCACGUUAAAGUGUGAUGGCGUACCUUUUGUAGAAUGGUCCGGCGAGUUAUAGUCACUGGCGAGGUUAAGCAAUUCAGUUGUGGAGCCGAAGGGAAACCGAGUCUUAAUAGGGCGUCGAGUCAGUGGCCAUAGACCUGAAACCGGGUGACCUAUCCAUGAGCAGGUUGAAGUUGGUGUAAAAGCCAAUGGAGGACCGAACCCACGUUCGUUGCAAUGACCGGGGAUGACUUGUGGAUAGCGGAGAAAUUCCAAUCGAACUCGGAGAUAGCUGGUUCUCCCCGAAAUAGCUUUAGGGCUAGCGUUAUUUUAGAUUACCGGAGGUAAAGCACUGAAUGGUCUAGGGGCCGCGAGGUUACCAAAGCCUAUCAAACUCUGAAUGCCGGAUAAUUGAUGAAUAGCAGUCAGACUGUGUGAGAUAAGUCUCAUAGUCAAAAGGGAAACAGCCCAGAUCUACAGCUAAGGUCCCAAAUGAACACUAAGUGGAAAAUGAUGUGAAACUGCGAAGACAACCAGGAUGUUGGCUUAGAAGCAGCCACUCAUUCAAAGAGUGCGUAAUAGCUCACUGGUCGAGUGGUUUUGCGCAGAAAAUGUAACGGGGCUAAGUGUUCAACCGAAGCUUAGGCAUUGCAGUAAUGCAUUGGGUAGGGGAGCGUCGUAUGCGGGGCGAAGUCAGAGCGGAAGCACUGGUGGACUGCAUACGAGUGAGAAUGCCGGAAUAAGUAGCGAGAAUUAUGUGAGAAUCAUAAUGGCCGAAAAUCUAAGGUUUCUUGGGGAAGGUUCGUCCGCCCAAGGUUAGUCGGGAGCUAAGCUCAGGCCGAAAGGCGUAGGCGAUGCACAUACGGUAGAAAUUCCGUAACCACCGAACAUUUAAGCUAGAGGGACGCUUUCAUUAAGUCUAUCCCGGGCGAUGGUUGCCCCGGGCGUAAGGGACCGAAAUUUAGUAGGGAAGUAGACGGCGUGAGAGACGAGAAAAGCUCUAGUGUAUACUAAGGUGCCCGUACCGCAAACCGACACAGGUAGAUGGGAUGAGUAUUCUAAGGCCAACGGGAGAAGGGUUGUUAAGGAACUCGGCAAAUUGGCCCCGUAACUUCGGGAUAAGGGGCGCCUGCGAGAGCAGGCCGCAGUGAAAAGGCCCAAGCGACUGUUUAGCAAAAACACAGCUCUCUGCUAAAUCGAAAGAUGACGUAUAGGGGGUGACGCCUGCCCGGUGCUGGAAGGUUAAGGGGAGUGCUUAGCGCAAGCGAAGGUGCGAACUUAAGCCCCAGUAAACGGCGGCCGUAACUAUAACGGUCCUAAGGUAGCGAAAUUCCGUGUCAGGUAAGUUCUGACCCGCACGAAUGGCGUAACGAUUUGGGCAC
rnacentral:rRNA from 1 species